GAUGAACGCUGGCGGCGUGCCUAACACAUGCAAGUCGAACGAAGCAUUUAAGACAGAUUACUUCGGUUUGAGGUCUUUUAUGACUGAGUGGCGGACGGGUGAGUAACGCGUGGGUAACCUGCCUCAUACAGGGGGAUAGCAGCUGGAAACGGCUGGUAAUACCGCAUAAGCGCACAGUACCACAUGGUACAGUGUGAAAAACUCCGGUGGUAUGAGAUGGACCCGCGUCUGAUUAGAUUGUUGGCGGGGUCACGGCCCACCAAGGCGACAAUCAGUAGCCGACAAGAGAGGGUGGCCGGCGACAUUGAGGCUAAGACACGGCCCGGAAUCCUACGGGAGGCAGGAGAGGCGAAUAUAGCAAAAUGGAGGAAACGCUGAUGCAGCGACGCCGCGUGAGUGAAGAAGUAGUUCGCUAUGUAAAGCUCUAUCAGCAGGGAAGAUAGUGACGGUACCUAACGAAGAAGCUCCGGCUAAAUACGUG
rnacentral:rRNA from 1 species